GUUGAAUACAGGUAUGGAGUUUGACUCAGUGCUAAGCUCCCCAGAAGCUCUGAUGUCAUGCAAUGUGAAGUUUGAACCCUAGCCCUCCAUCAGUGGCUUGUGAUUUUGAGCAAACCACCUUUCUCAGAGCCUCAACUUCCUCAUCUGUGGAGUGGGAAUGGCCACCUCUCCCAGCAGGCUGUGGACACAGUGAGGGGCUCAGUGACAGCGGCUGGCAGGAGCUGGAUGGAGCUCUGGAUCUUUGUCAUGAUGCUUUGAGGGCCACAGGUGACGGCUCCCUUGGUGUUUCAAUAAAAAAACAGACCACAAGUGAUUCUGCGCAGAACAAUAUGACCAUGCAACCCAAGUGGACCCAUAUGGAACCAAACAAGAAGAGCCAAUCCCUAAAAGAAAAUGGGGUGAUGUUUCUCAAAGGAGGAGCUAAAGUGGGGUGGGGGGAGGGAGAGAUGUGUUCACUAUACUUGGGACAUCUUGUGGCCAAAAUCUUAGAAAACAAGAAUAAUACAUUUAUUAGUAAAGAAACAAGAGGGCACUUCCGGGAAUGAGGUAGCCUGGAAAUGGAGCUUGCCCUCGCCUUGUAUUCCUGUUCCCACCACUCAUGCCCUUUAGGACCGGCCCUUCCCAUUCCUUCCUGGACUGUAUGGGGAAGGCCUGAAUGCCAUCACCAAGUUUUGGAAAUCUUGAGAGAUGGUGUGCUCUGAGACUAAGAGGAUGAACUUGGGUUUUGGCAGAUUUGGAUUCUAUUUUGGACUCCAGUCCUUUUUUGCAAGGUGGCAACUUUCUUUUUCUAAACCAGUACUUCUUCACCCGUAGAAUAAAUAAAAUGACAGUACUUCUGCCAAAGCAUCAUUGUGAAAUUUUAAUGAGAGUACUAACGGUGGUAGAUUAACCAGUGGUCAGUUUGUAAUACCCGUUGAACUGAGUCAGCGUGAUUCUGGGUAUGGAAGGUCCACCUGAAGAUCGUUGCCAAUUUCA
rnacentral:lncRNA from 1 species